rnacentral:misc_RNA from 1 species
GGAUAUGCCUUUCAGGAGAUAAAGUGAAGGAAUGAUGGUGUAGUAUAGGGUUGCUAGGCAGUUUGGAGCCCAGAGACAAUAGCAGCAAUAGCAAAGUUGAAGCCCAAGGGAAAUACUUCCAUAUCCAUACCAUGCAGGGCUAUACUUGGAAAGCAAAAUCUGGAAAUCACCUUCGGACCAUCUUUUAUGCUGCACUAGCGUCUGAGGCAGGGUGGUUGCUGUAACCCCUAAGAAUGCUUUCCUUUCUGGAUUGAAAUAAGCUGAUUUCCAACCUUUGCAUUGGAUUGACAACCCUGUAAUUACAUCCUCCACUGGACAUCCGUAUUUCAGUCCCAUCUCAUUUCCCCAUUGAGUGUUUUGCUCAUAAGUACAGCUUGCAAGAGGCCUUGUUUCUUCUUCUAAUUCUUGUGCACUCUGUAGUCUCUUCUGAUCAUCAUCUCUCUUCCAUUCAAUUUUACAAUCCUGUGUGAAUUUCCUUCCACAGAGAGUAUCCCUCCUGUGAAAGCACCCAGUUCCAACAUACAGAGGGCCCCCAAAACCAUCCGCCCCAUGAAAUUCCACAUUGCUAAUUACUCGCAACGAAUCAUACAGUUCAUUCUUAGUAACAUUUUCGAAACACUGUGGGAAUUGAACAAAAGCAAUUUCAUGGCCGUUUUCUUCAUCCAUGAAGAAGCAGAGAGCAUCCAGGAGGGAUUGU